GAUGAAGAACGCAGCGAAAUGCGAUAAGUAAUGCGAAUUGCAGAAUUUCCGUGAGUCAUCGAAUCUUUGAACGCACAUUGCGCCCCCUGGUAUUCCGGGGGGCAUGCCUGUCCGAGCGUCAUUACUGCCCUCAAGCCCGGCUUGUGUGUUGGGCCCCGUCCUCCGAUCCCGGGGGACGGGCCCGAAAGGCAGCGGCGGCACCGCGUCCGGUCCUCGAGCGUAUGGGGCUUUGUCACCCGCUCUGUAGGCCCGGCCGGCGCUUGCCGAUCAACCCCAAUUUUUAUAGGUUGACCUCGGAUCAGGUAGGGAUACCCGCUGAACUUAAGCAUAUCAAUAAGCGGAGGA
rnacentral:misc_RNA from 1 species